rnacentral:rRNA from 1 species
UACGAAGGGGGCUAGCGUUGUUCGGAAUCACUGGGCGUAAAGCGCACGUAGGCGGAUUCUUAAGUCAGGGGUGAAAUCCCGGGGCUCAACCCCGGAAUUGCCUUCAAAACUGGAUAUCUUGAGUUCGGGAGAGGUGAGUGGAACUCCGAGUGUAGAGGUGAAAUUCGUAGAUAUUCGGAAGAACACCAGUGGCGAAGGCGACUCACUGGACAUGUAUUGACGCUGAGGUGCGAAAGCGUGGGGAGCAAACAGG